GACGAACGCUGGCGGCGUGCUUAACACAUGCAAGUCGAACGAUGAAGCCGGAGCUUGCUCCGGUGGAUUAGUGGCGAACGGGUGAGUAACACGUGAGCAAUCUGCCCUUGACUCUGGGAUAACUGCGGGAAACUGUAGCUAAUACCGGAUACGACACCUUGGGGCAUCCCAGGGUGUGGAAAGAAUUUCGGUCAAGGAUGAGCUCGCGGCCUACCAGCUAGUUGGUGAGGUAAUGGCUCACCAAGGCGACGACGGGUAGCCGGCCUGAGAGGGUGACCGGCCACACUGGAACUGAGACACGGUCCAGACUCCUACGGGAGGCAGCAGUGGGGAAUAUUGCACAAUGGGCGAAGGCCUGAUGCAGCAACGCCGCGUGAGGGAUGAAGGCCUUCGGGUUGUAAACCUCUUUUAGCAGGGAAGAAGCGAAAGUGACGGUACCUGCAGAAAAAGCACCGGCUAACUACGUGCCAGCCGCCGCGGUAA
rnacentral:rRNA from 1 species